AUUGAACGCUGGCGGCAGGCCUAACACAUGCAAGUCGAGCGGCAGCGGGAAAGUAGCUUGCUACUUUUGCCGGCGAGCGGCGGACGGGUGAGUAAUGCCUGGGAAAUUGCCCAGUCGAGGGGGAUAACAGUUGGAAACGACUGCUAAUACCGCAUACGCCCUACGGGGGAAAGCAGGGGCCCUUCGGGCCUUGCGCGAUUGAAUAUGCCCAGGUGGGAUUAGCUAGUUGGUGAGGUAAUGGCUCACCAAGGCGACGAUCCCUAGCUGGUCUGAGAGGAUGAUCAGCCACACUGGAACUGAGACACGGUCCAGACUCCUACGGGAGGCAGCAGUGGGGAAUAUUGCACAAUGGGGGAAACCCUGAUGCAGCCAUGCCGCGUGUGUGAAGAAGGCCUUCGGGUUGUAAAGCACUUUCAGCGAGGAGGAAAGGUCAGUAGCUAAUAUCUGCUGGCUGUGACGUUACUCGCAGAAGAAGCACCGGCUAACUCCGUGCCAGCCGCCGCGGUAAAAC
rnacentral:rRNA from 1 species